AUUUACAAACUGUUGAAAAGUAAGAAAUUUUAAAACAACCAUCACAACUAAAGCACACGUAUAUCAUUUUGUUAUUUCAUAUUUUUACGGGUAACGUUUUGGUGUAUUUCUAUUUAUAGCGUGGUUCGUAACAUUUCAAAAGAUGUAUUUAUAGUGGAGUGUUGUCCGAACUAUAUAGAAAAGAACGGCAUAUGUGAACCAUGUCCAGCAGGAACUUACGGGAAGUCCUGUGAGAUUCCCUGCAUACCUGGUCAGUAUGGUAACAUGUGCAACUCUACAUGCCAUUGCAGUUCAGUUCAGGUAUGCAACAAUAUAUUUGGAUGUGUCUGUCCAGAAGGAUUAACAGGAAACAAAUGUGAUAAAGCAUGCCCGGAUGGAAAGUUCGGUGAGGAUUGUGAGGAAGACUGUAAUUGUUUACCAUGUAGUACGUGUGACAAUGCUACAGGCAACUGUUCAUGUGAUGAGCAAUCGAGUCCUCCUGAAAAAAUAACGACAACGAAAUACA